rnacentral:tRNA from 1 species
GGGGAUAUAGCUCAGUGGUAGAGCACAUGCAUGAGGUCCUGGGUUCAAUCCCCAGAACCUCUA